CACGUAGGCACCAAGCGUUGUCCGGAUUUAUUGGGCGUAAAGAGCUCGUAGGCGGUUCGGUAAGUCGGGGGUGAAAACUUUGGGCUCAACCCAAAGCGUGCACUCGAUACUGCCGUGACUAGAGUUCGGUAGGGGAGCGGGGAAUUCCUAGUGUAGCGGUGAAAUGCGCAGAUAUUAGGAGGAACACCGGUGGCGAAGGCGCCGCUCUGGGCCGAAACUGACGCUGAGGAGCGAAAGCGUGGGUAGCAAACAGG
rnacentral:rRNA from 1 species